rnacentral:rRNA from 1 species
UACAGAGGUCUCGAGCGUUAGGCGGAAUCACUGGGCUUAAAGCGUGUGUAGGUGGAUCGUUAAGUACCUUGUGAAAUCCCACGGCUUAACCGUGGAACUGCUUGGUAUACUGGCGGUCUUGAGCCAGCUAGGGGCUACCGGAACAAAUGGUGGAGCGGUGAAAUGCGCAGAUAUCAGGAGGAACACCGGUGGCGAAGGCGGAUCUCUGGGCCUGUCCUGACGCUCAGGCGCGAAAGCUAGGGGAGCAAACAGG